rnacentral:tRNA from 1 species
CCCUGGCUGGCUCAGUCAGAAGAGCAUGAGACUCUUGAUCUUGGGGUCAUGAGUUUAAACCCCAUGUUGGGCA